UGCGCGUCGGACUCUCUCUUCAUUCCACCACUCCAUCGACUUUGCUUCUCUCUCGAUCGGACUCGUUGGUCCAGCUCCCUCUCUCUCUCUCUCUCUCUCUCUCUCUCUCUUUCUCGAACACACACUCACUUAGAAGGAGGUAAGACGUGGAAAAGGGAGACGUAGAAGGGAUGCCAAAGAAAAAGGAAAUGUAAGAGAGAAGAGGACAGAUCGGCGAAGAGCCCUCGGGCCUUGUCUUUCUCUCUCUCUCUCUCUCUCUCUCUCUCUCUCUCUCUCUCUCUCUCUCUCCGUUUCACUUCUCGGUCCCACAGUCGGGGACCAUCGCGGUGGAGUGGGAGGAUGGAGCAAUGUCGGUGUUCACGAAGGAGAGAUAGAGAUAUAUCGGUAGAGCGAGAAGGAGAAAGAGAAAGAAAGAUGGAGGCGUCGUAGGGUGAACAGGUAAGACAGUGUGCGUGUAAGAGGGAAAGAGGGAAAAAGGAGAGAGAGAGAGAGAGAGAGGGAGAGAGAGAGAGAGAGACGAGAAUAUGCGAAGAGAAGAGGGGAACGCGCUCGAGAUCGGUGGAUUUCGUAGGAGCGAGCGAAAGGGAAGACCGUGGUAGAAAGGUGGGAGAGAGAAAGCGAGAGCGUGUGUGUAAGCGAGGGCGAGGAGAGAGGGGAAGGCGAGGAGACACGGAGCUAAGAGCGGGAUGCUGGGAGGCGGCGGUGGCGGCGGCCAUGUUGCCGUAUCCCGAGAGAAGAGAGAACGAUCCGAGAGAGCACCGUGAGGCUGCUUCGUUUGUUGCUUGCAGCGGCGGUCCAAACUUUAAGAAGUUUAAUUCUAUUUUAUACAAACGAUCGUCUUUGCCAGUGCGUUGUGUCAAAAAUACAAGUAUUCCGCGAUCCGUAUCGUCGUCGCCGUCUCCGUCGCCGUCUCCGUUGCCGUUGCCGUCUGAGUUGCCGUUGCCGUUGCCGUUACCGUCGCCGUCCUCUUCGCAAUACUUUUCGUCGCGGCUUCGUCGUUACUGGUCGUACGCACCUUUAGAUUAACGCGGUUUCGACGACGAGGACGACGACGACGACGACGAGGACGACGACGACGACGACGACGACGAGGACGAGGACGACGACGACGACGACGACGACGACGACGCGUACGCGCGUGUGCCUUCUGUGCUUCUUACAUCUUCUCGCGUUUCUUCUAUUUCUGGCAUGUCUCCUAUACUCGAGGAGACUACCGAAUAAUUCGCGGGAAAACUCUUCUUCUUGCGAAGCGCGAGAAAACGCAAAAAGUGCGCGACCGAGAGAAAGGAUUCUCCGAGCGGUGAUCGAAAAGAGAAAACGAAUAAAAGAGGAAAGGUGACGCUAUGACGUGCGACAAGUGAAUUUCGUGAAUCGCUCUGAAGGAAAGACCGGAGGAAGAGGAAGAAGAGAUCGAAACUAUUUUAGCCCUCUUUCAGUUUUUUCGUUUGUGUACGCGAAGAGGAUCACCCUCCGACGGGAUGCCCAAUCUCGAAAGAAAGGUCCUUCGAUAGCACGACGUUUCCAUCGCACUAGCGAAUUUGCGAAAGAAGAAACGACGCCGAUGGACACUAUUAUCCGCUGAGAUGUGAUCCAGAAUACCACAGGGACGCUCGGUAGUUUGUAGUUGGUCCCCCGUUCCCCUUUUACCGCCCCCUCACCCCACCACCCCACACGACUUAUCACCUACUACCUCGCGCUCUCUUUCCCUCUCUCCCUCUCUCUCUCUCUCUCUCUCUCUCUCUCUCUCUCUCUAUCUACCUAUAUAUCUAUCUAUCUAUCUAUCUAUCUAUCUGUCUGUCUGUCUCUUUCCCUUCUUUCCAUCUUUUCAUCCUUCCUUCAACGCCCUCCUGCCCCUUUACAACGAUAAACGUAACCUCACCGAUGCCACAACGUACGACGAUCGAAUCGAUUUUCACACGGAUUCGGCGAACGCGCUUGAAUUCGUAUCGCCGGUUCAUCAUCUCUCGCCUCUUCUAAAUGCACCUUGGACGAAUCCCAACCGCCCGAGCCUCUUCUUCUUCUUCUUCUUCUUCUACUACCACUACUACCACUACUGCUAUCAUUACUACUGCUACUGCUGCUGCUGUUGCUACUACUACUACUAUUACUACUACUACUACUACUACUACUACUACUACUAACGACGUGCCAUAUACACAUAGUAACCUGUGAUACGCUAUCUCAUGCCAAGAAGUACUCCUACCGGUUAGACGUACGUAGAUAUCUAGUCGAAGAUUAGCCGGAAUCGCGACUAGAGGAAAACGGACGAGGAGAAGAAGAAGAAGAAGAGGGAAGAGACGAUCGAGACGCUAUCGAUAGUGAAGGGCAGAAGAAGAUCGGAUCGAAGAACAUAUAUAGGACGUCACGAUACGACGAGGAAGAAGAAUCAGAGGAGAGUGCAGGAGAAUGUCCACGUGCACCGACGAAGGUGACACCGCACCCCUGCACAUGCAGGAGGCUCUGUCUCCGGUGCAGGAGGGACCCGUGUCGCCGGCAUCCUCUUCCUUAAGCAAUCAAAAUCAAAACGAAAACGAUCAACAACAGGUUUUACUGGCGACGAUGCAGCCGGUGAACGUGUUAGAUCUACACGAACCUCCGGCUGUGCAUCCGCUUCAUCCGAAGUAUCAUCAUCACCAUCACCACCGUCACCAUCAUCAUCACCACCAUCAUCAUCAUCAUCAGCAGCAGCAGCAGCAGCAGCAGCAGCAGCAGCAGCAACAGCAGCAACAGCAGCAGCAACACGGUAUUAGCGGGGAUCCGGAGGACGUGCAGCAACGUGGUACGAACGGAGCGGAGGAUCCGGACGGUCGAGUUACGCCGGUAACGGAAACGACUGGUGGAAAUCCAACGUUGGCCGUCGGCGAGCACAAGAUGAUAGAUCUUAUUUACAACGAUGGGCAAAAGACGGUGAUGUACACCCACGACAAGGAGAUAAUAUACGAGAACGAGGCCGAUCGAGUUCAAGUGGUCGAGUAUCCACCACCCCCGCCGUCGCCACCUUCGCCCUCGCCGCCCUCGGUCGUCAGCAGAACCGGACUACUACCGCCGACUUGCGUAGCACCGAGAACAGGGGCUGGUGCGACCACAGCGGCUCUUCAUCUUCAUCACUAUCCUCAAUUGCAGCUGCAACACGAGGACGAGCUACCGAGCGUUCGUCACACCGUAACCGCCACCGCGCCGAAUUGCGGAACCGCCACCACCACCACGACCGUUCUCGUCCUUUCCGAGCUCGUAGCCGCCGAUCCGGCAGCCGGUGCUGCCGCCGCUCAGCAGCUCACGCUAACGGCCGCGGCCGCUGCGGCUUCUCUUCGCGCUGGACGACGAAGUCGCAGCGAGGAAGAGACGAACGGCAGCGUCUCGGUGGGCGACGAGUCUCAGCAACAACAGCAACAACAGCAAGGCUACGUGUCGCAACGAGAGAGUCAAGAGGAGGAGGAAGAAUUAGCGGCGGAGGAAGCUGCCGCGGCUCAGGCUGCGGCUCAGGCUGCGGCUCAGGCUGCGGCUCAGUCCCUUCAGAGUGCCAGCGAGGAGACCGAUCCGGAAGUUCACAAGAGAGUCACUGCGGUGCAGGUGCAGGUUCAGGGUAUGGAGGGCGACUGGCGCGCCUACUGCGAGCAUCCGCUCUCCGUUGCGACCGCGGCAAUGCUAAAUCUCCAACAACAGCAUCAGGUCUCGACUGUCGCCAGCCAUGGCGACGAUCCAGCCGCUUCCUACGUCUACGAGUACUACAAGCUACCGGAAAAGGCCACCACCGACGUCAAGCUACCCCCGACGCACGAGCUUUGGUCCACGGGUGUGAUGGGCCAGAAGCUGCUGGUGCAGGAGGCGCCUGGCUCCGGUUCUGGCUCGGCAAAUCGCAUGGAAGGCGGCGAAGGCGCCGGAGGUGGGGAGCUCCAUCAUUUCCUCCACCAAUACAACCAGCAGUCUCACAGUCCUGGUCAGAGUCUCCAAGGUGGGCUUCCGCUUCCGUUGAGCCCGCAGUCGCUCCGACACGACGGUUCCUCCAGCGCCGGCAUCACCGGAGUUAAGAGGGAACCCGAGGAUCUCAGUUCCUCGCGCGGAGCUCAACAAUCCAGCAAACGUCACAAGCAGGCGCAACCGGAGAGUCCAACGCCGCCGGGAAUGUACCAUCACCAUCAACAUCAGCUACAGGUGCAACAGUACGGAAGUCCGUACGAUCCGUACACCUCGUGCAGUCCACGAUUACAGUCCACCGCGUACACCUCGACGUCCGGAACGAGCGCGACAAAUAACGCGAAUGCGAGUGGCAUUCAUCAGGAAACAACAGCCGUCUACGUAACGGGCGACGCUCUGCCACCGCUCGCAUCCUCGAGCUCUUCCUCGUUGUCGACGAGCACAGCCUCCUACACGAGAUACGAGGUCGUACCGAGCUCUUACGCCACGACGCACGCGAUACGCUCCUCCUCGAGCAGCAGCAAAGUUCUCACCGUCGAUCUACCCAGUCCCGACUCUGGAAUCGGUGCCGACGCCGUCACACCUAGGCAGGAUCAUCACGCACCUACGGCCCUUCAUCAGUCGUCCUUCGACUAUACGGAGCUCUGCCCCGGAGGAACGGCAACUGGUGCAGCGGUCGUUCUCGAGAGCGGAGCCGUGAUACAUCAUCAACCUCUGCAACUGCAGCUACAACAGAGCCAUGCGCAAGCGCAGGUGCAGCGUGGCGGUCUCGUCGCAGCAGGUGCGACCAAUCCUACCACGAAUCCGAAUCCACCGAGGUCAAGACCUUGGCACGAUUUUGGAAGACAGAACGAUGCCGACAAGAUACAGAUACCAAAGAUCUUCUCGGCGUACGGUUUCAAGUAUCAUCUGGAGUCUCCCAUCAGCACGUCUCAACGACGCGAAGACGACAGAAUAACGUACAUCAAUAAGGGUCAAUUCUAUGGUAUAACUCUCGAUUACGUACCGGAUCCGGACAAACCGCUUCUUAAGGCGGGACAAACGGUUAAGAGCGUGGUUAUGCUGAUGUUCCGAGAGGAGAAGAGUCCCGAGGACGAGAUCAAAGCCUGGCAAUUCUGGCAUGGAAGACAGCAUUCCGUAAAGCAACGUAUUCUCGAUGCUGAUACAAAAAACAGCGUUGGUUUGGUGGGUUGCAUAGAGGAAGUCGCACACAAUGCGAUUGCUGUUUAUUGGAAUCCCUUGGAAUCUUCUGCAAAGAUAAAUGUCGCCGUGCAGUGUCUCAGCACAGAUUUCUCCAGUCAGAAGGGCGUAAAGGGCCUACCGCUACAUAUUCAAGUGGACACGUACGAGGAACCUCCACCACACACUCACACUUACACGCCACCCUCGCAUCGCGGUUAUUGUCAGAUCAAAGUCUUUUGCGAUAAGGGAGCGGAAAGGAAGACUCGCGACGAGGAGAGAAGAGCAGCCAAAAGGAAGAUGACGGCUACGGGUAGGAAGAAACUCGACGAACUUUACCACUCUGUCACGGAACGUAGCGAAUUUUAUUCCAUGGUCGAUCUCCACAAGCCACCCGUCCUCUUUUCACCGCCGGCCGAGCAUGCCAUCGACAAGUUUUCGACGAUGGAGUUGUCGGGCUUCUACGGAGGCGGUGGCGGCGGUGGCGGUGGCGACACCGACACCUCGUCACUCAGUAACGGUGAGGGCGGAGGAUUGAAGGCUGGGGGUAGCAGCCCGUAUCCUACUUGCGGUAGACCGAGCCUGCCCGCCUUGAAGUUCCACAACCACUUUCCGCCCGACAAUCUCAGUAAUCUACACGACAAGAAGGACUCCUUAUUGAUGCAGGUGCAGGAACUUCAAGGCUCGGUGCUUCAGGGUGUACAACAGGCCGGACUGGCCGGCACCGUAGUCUCCAGCGUCGGCAAUCGCCUGCACCUGCAGCAACAGCCGUCGCAUUUGCGUCCGGCCGACGCCGAGGAACGUGUCAUGCUAUACGUUCGUCAGGAAUCCGAAGACGUCUACACGCCUCUCCACGUAACGCCGCCAACUGUUCAAGGACUACUCAAUGCUAUUGAGUCAAAGUACAAAAUUGCAUCCUCGAGUAUUAAUAACCUCUAUCGCAAAAACACAAAGGGCAUUACGGCGAAAAUUGAUGACGACAUGAUCAGAUUCUACGUGGACGAAGAUCUGUUUCUCUUGGAGGUGAGUCAUUCGAGAUUGAACGGAGAUGCCGUAAGCGAACGAAAUUCUACCAAUCCUGGCUCGCCGAGCGAUCCAACCGAUCCCGGGGAGGCACCGUCGAGCGGUUACGACGUGACGCUUAUCGAACUACCCUCGUCACCGCCACAUCUCGCCCAUUCGCCCCUUGCCAACUCGACGCACGGUCACGCACACGCGCACGUUCACGAAAGUGGAAACACGUGAAGGUGGGAACUAUCAUCCGGACAUCUUUGAAUCUUUCGACGUGUACAUAGUAGGCGGACGGAUAGUCGGCCGAAGGACGCGAUCCAAGUUCUCCGAAGAGCCAUCCGACCGUCCGCGAACUUUGAGAAUGCUAAUCGAUCUCCGCUGGCGCAAAUACCAGAACGAGCUAAGAUUCAUUCUCUAAUUUCUUAAGGAUCGAGAAUAACUCGAUCGCCUUUUAUCUCACAUCUUUCAGAUGUCCUCAAACUUUAAACAUUUUACUUACUCGUUAGAAUAAGAAAAAAAUAUGUUGCGCCGUACGCAACGUAAAAAGCACGAAUCGAGAUUAAGAUCUUACAUGAGAGAAUGGACGAAGAAGAACCGGUUAGAUUAUAAGAUAGUCGUCGUUUUAAGAUAGAAACAUAUCAUUCUUCGUUGCGUGCAACUAUCGUUACGUGUAAAUCAAUCAAAAUUGAUUUAAGAGGACCAUUGUAUCUUACGUAUACGUAUGACGUAUGUUUAUAUGAGAUUUUUUUCAUUUUAUUUUAUUAUCGUAUCUUUGCGGUUUAGAGUUUAAAUUUUGUUUAUUUUAUUAUAAAAUAUAUCGCACAAAUGCGAAUCUACACGAAUGGAAGGAGAAGAUAGUAUCGAGUGGUCGACCAAGUCGACGUAUUCGAAUUUAUUUUGAAUAUACACCAAACUAUUUCUCAUGUCGACAACGUUAUUUCAAUUAGGAACUCCUUUAAAAAAUGAUCAAUGUAUCUAUUCUAUUUGGAUUCAUUUUAUUAUCGUAUCAGUAAAAGCGUUGAUGUUAUUUUUUACUUGUAAAAGUUCUAAUCCAUACUUUUUAUCAUUGUUGAUGAUAUUUUUAGACAACCUCCCACGUGCUUUAUCGUUAAUAGAUUGAACGACCGACGUUCUUCCAAGUCCUACACAACCUCGAACAACGUAAUCGUAUUACCUUUGACGCUCGCCAUUUGCCGUUUUUAAAUAAUCACAUUAUUUAAACAGAGUUACGUAUGGCAAGGUUUAAUAUCAGAUCGCUACGUAUCAAACCGAACGAAUACAAUAGUUUAUAUUUUAUACCAGUGUGAAAAAGAAGCCAUUGGCAGAGACAAAAAUAUUACAAUUUUAUCGUAGAAUUGCGCGUUCGCGUUUAUGUGUGUAUCCAUAUCGCGUACCGCUUUCUUGUUGUUCGUUAUAAUGUUAGAGAUCCGAUAGAUUAGAUUAGAGAAUAUCACGAUCACGACAUUUAUAUUGUUUUUGCGUUUAAUCAUACGUAUUGUCGAUACCGAUAUCAAAGCAACGAUCAAAAUACGCUUGUAAAAUGCAUAUUAUUAUUGAAUACUAUAUUUUGUUACAUUUAUCGCAGACAGCAUAUAGGUUAAUAUUAUUAAUAUUAUUGUUUCUAUCGAUUAGAGAUAUACCUAUAUCAUUAUUUUUAUACGAGAAUGUAUAAUCGUAUGAGACGUAAAAAAGAAUUUUAGAAUAAAAAGAGAGAGAGAGAGAGAGAGAAAGUAUGUGUGUGCUUGCAGUAUGAGUAGUAUAUGAUUGAAAGAGACGAUGCAUGGAACAGAAAUGAUAUAGAAAGAGAAUGAUUGCGUACGUAUGCGAGUAUAUCGAUGAAGAUGAACAUGAAGAAGGAAAAAAAAUUUUUUAGUUAUGAUUGUUAGCGUUGCUCCAUGACAUUUUUAUAAAUAAUAACUAUAGCAGAGCCCUUUCUUCCCCCGCCCUGACCCACCCCUCCGCCCGUUGGCCGUUCAUUUACGAGAAAAGACACCGUCCCGACGUAUCUUUCUUUCGCAUACGAACGGCUGCGUCGAUGAGCCAUUUUAUUAUUAUUAUUAUUAUUAUUUUAUUAUUAUUACUGAUAAUAUUAUUAUAUCAUCUUUAUAAUACUUAUAACUAUUAAUAUUAUUUCUAUGUUACGAAGGAUAAACGUGUUAACGCUACGAGGAGACUACGAAUCUGAAGAAAUCUUUUGCUAAUUUUUCCAGCCACAGCCACGCAAAUUUAUCAGAAUCCUCUUUGAGGUCUCAAAAAGAAACAAAUCUCUCUGAGCAGUAGCUUACUUUCUAACGAUAGAACGAAAGAUUUGUUCGUUGUUUCCUCGUAGCCAUUUCUUUUUCUUUUUUAUUGAGCCGUGUCGAUAUCGUACUUAAACGACGUAAAUAUGACGAUAUAAAAGAAGAAAGAGAGAGAACAAGAAGAAGGGAUGACUUCUGACUUAUUUGUUAUAAGCGUAUUCUAAUCGCAAGAAAUGUUAUUUCUUUAUCUGUCGCUUAUCCGAUCGACGGAAUAUCCAAUUUUCAGAAUGUAGCGUGGAAAUGUCGUCGGAAAGAGAAAAAGAGAGGGAGAGAGAGGGAGGGAGAGAGAGAGAGAGAGAGAGAGAGAGAGAGAGAGUAUUGAUAACAGAAAGCUGAAAUAUUAAGCAUGUUUUCUUUCUUCCGUCGCGUUGUCUUGCCAUCGUGAGAUUGUGCCAGAGGUGAUAUUAUAUUAUUUCGAUGUUUAUUGCAACAAUAAAUAUUAUAUUAAAGCCCGAACGAGACACACACGAGUCCUCUCUUCGUGGAAACCAGUCAGCGAGGAAUUCAAAAAAGGAGAUCCGGAGCGUGUAAACCUAUAAGGGAAGAUAAACAGGAGGUUGGCUCUCUGGCGAAUGAAGAAAAACGAGGAAGAAAAGAAGAAGAAGAAGAAGAAGAAGAAGAAGAGGACGAAAACGAGAUAGGGGAGGAGAAGAAAACAUCAAGCGAAGAGAAGAAAUCGUGUCGACGACUUUACAGUCAGGGUUCGACGAUCGCUUCACGGAUGAAGCAACGUGACAAGUCGUUCUGACAACUAUUUUGGCGACAUAUCGAUUGCCCUAACGGAUCCAAAAUGAAUCGAGAUGAUCGAUAAGACAAUCAACGAGAAAGAUCCGUCGAAUCUCGUAUAUAAUGAUAAGCGCUCGACUUCUAUCUCUUCUUGUAUGUAAGUUGUAUAAAAAGGUUUCUUCUAGGUGCUCUUCUAUCUUAAAUCGACCAAUACUCGAUUCUUUAAUUAGGAGAUACGCAUAGUCUUAUGAGAACGAAACUAAGAUACAAAGAGGAUAAAUAUGUGAAGAGAGAGAGAGAGAGAGAGAGAAAGGAGAAGAAGGAGAUAAAAGAGGA